GGGGAUUUAGCUGAGCGGCAUAAGCGCCUGCCUUGCAAGCAGGUGGUCGUGAGUUCGAUCCCUG
rnacentral:tRNA from 1 species